GGCCAAAAAUAACCCUAAACCCUAAACCUGGUCAGGGCAACCGGUUUCUGCAUGUUACACUUGGUUGCUGCAGUUUGUGAGAAAGAGGAUCCAUUUCCAGCGCUGUUUGAAGAUUCGUCGUUGCGAACCUUGAUGGGUUUGCUGAUAUUUUGAAGUUGGAUACAGUGGCUUUGCUGUCAUCACUGACGAGUUCAUCGUCCAGGAUUGCGACAGGAAUUGUAGCACAGGAAUUGCAUCCCAUACUUCGUAGAUCAGUGAAUAUUGCCCUGCGUCCGUCCUGCAUUAUCUCAUCGAGAGGCUCACCGAAGGUGGGGUCUGUUGAGUAGUUUUGUGCGGAUGUAUUGGCACUUGUUUAACUUUGUGCGCAGCGUUGCCAUUGUUUCUGUCUUCGAUUUUUUUGGAAUAUCUUGGAAGGGUGAAUUCGAGAACGAUUCUUGUCGAGUUCCGGCGUUCCGGUAGAGAGUCCUAGUUGAGAACUUUGAGAUCUUUGGGUGUGAAGAGGGUCAUGGCGUCUGGUUCUUAUGGUGUGGCGAUGAUGGAGAAGAUCGAAGAAUUGACUGCAGCAGUUGGAAGUGCCGAGAUUCCCUCCGCUGUGUCUCAGGGGAGCAGAUCUCAGCCCACCCGAGGGACGGCUUCCAAGUACGAUUUCGUCAAAGUGAAGGUGUGGUUGGGGGCCAACGCAGAUCACUACUACAUUUUGUCUCGAUUUUUGAUCAGUCGCAUGCUGCUGGUUACCAAGAUUCCAAACCACGCCGCCAUCAAAAUUUCUCUUGAGCUGAAGAAGCUGCUCAUCGACAAUAGCUUGCUCGAUGUGUUUGUCUUGUUUGACUCAAGGCUGUCUUUCCGAGUUGUUUCUAAAGAAGCAUGUUGCUGGAUACAGCUGAUGGAGCGACGUGGCUAUGGCGCAGAAUACAUCGAGCGCUACAAAAUGAUGACCAGGUUCCAUCACCAACGAACGCCACUGAUUAUUAUUGUGUGUGGUACUGCGUGUGUUGGAAAGUCCACCCUCGCCACUCAACUUGCCCAGCGCCUCAAUUUACCGAACGUUUUGCAGACAGACAUGGUCUACGAGUUACUGCGCACAUCGACAGAUUCCUUGAACAUCGCUCCACUUUCAUCAACUCCUCUCUGGGCUCGAGAUUUCGCAUCUUCAGAGGAGCUUAUUAGAGAGUUUUGUCGUGAAUGUCGUAUCGUUCGCAAAGGACUCGAUGGUGAUCUGAAGAAGGCAAUGAAAGAUGGGAAGCCAGUCAUUAUCGAGGGUCUUCAUUUGGAUCCAUCCAUCUAUCUUAUGAAUGAAGAAAGUGGGGGGUUUGGAAGUGGUGUUGUGCAAAUGAAGGCUUUACCUUCCGCGGCGGAUACAGUGACCGUUGCUGGAAUCGAAAAAGAUGGAGCAACCAGUGACGCUGUGAUGAAUAAAGAAAUAUCAAAAGAACCAAUCAAGUGGACGCCACCUAAGUGCAUUUUUGUUCCCAUCGUGCUUAAAAUGGCUGAUGUAGAUCACCGGGUAUUUGACAUGGCAACUAGAUUGAGAUUUAACCCUUCCAACAACCUUGCUGGAGGAAUGGAUUUCUGCACGUGCAGCAGAUACCGAAACCAGUGUUUCAAAAGAGGACAAAGAGGCUCUGAUUAAAAGGCUUCAAACCAUUGAGGACUAUCUAACAUCGUUUGAAUCACAGGGACUGACUGUUGUGAACUUAUCUGCCACAACUUUCCCACAAACACUUGAUUGGAUGCACAGCUAUCUCUUAGAGUGUAUUAAGCAAGGAUCUACCCAACCUUGUUCACGAGCUGGUUCUUAAUCCAAGUGCUAAAUGUACUUUCCACACUUUCACAUGUAUAUAUGGUCAGCCAGCACAUCACUUUGAAGCACUUAGAGACUGUCCUCAAAACGCGAGGUUUAUGACAGGGAUGAUUAUAGCAUAACAAAAACUAACUGUUUUAUCCAACCAAGAGUAAAUAUCUCAUAAAUAGCAAAGAUGCCCAUACUUAAUCUUUUUUAUGCAAGCAAUUGAGUGAGUCAACCUUAGACAACUUUGUUUUCUUUUCA